rnacentral:rRNA from 1 species
UACGGAGGGUGCGAGCGUUGUCCGGAAUCACUGGGCGUAAAGGGCGCGUAGGCGGCCUGAUAAGUAGGGGGUGAAAUCCUGCGGCUUAACCGCAGGGCUGCCUUCUAAACUGUCAGGCUGGAGCACAGUAGAGGCAGGUGGAAUUCCCGGUGUAGCGGUGAAAUGCGUAGAUAUCAGGAGGAACACCGGUGGCGAAGGCGGCUUUCUGGACAGAUACCGACGCUGAGGCACGAAAGCUAGGGGAGCAAACAGG